CCGAAACACCGCACCUUCGGUUUGUCCAGCUGCUCUUGCAAUCGGCGAUCGCAGGGAGACUGCGCGCCCGGCUUUUAAUUAAAGCUUGUGAUUGAUUGGCUGCUAAAUGCUCCCUCACACACAUGUGCACACCCACACACACAGAAAGGAAAGUCCAUUAUACAUCUAUCAGUGGGUCUGUCCUAAUCGUAAUGGGAGACAGAUGUAAGGUGCUGGGGAGUAGCACUUUCUGACAUACACAAACACAAUUCCAGGGACACAAUCUAUUUUACACACAUAUGAAAAAAGACAUAAACUUGCACUCAGUUUCCUCAUUCUGCUGAUUUCACACAUGCACACAUUUCUCUCUGUUUUAGAUUACACACAUAUACACACAACCUCGGACAGUUGAGUAUCCAUUUAACGUGCUUAGCCGUAGUUGACAACAAUGAUCAGAAGUCUCCUUGAGAAGGGUUGGUAAGAAGUAAGAAGGACUAGCAUAUACCCAUCCCCCACCAUGCCAUCACUAUGUAUCCCUUCUUAAAGGGAGAAGGAAUAAAGUGGUUGGAGAAUGAAAUGAACCUAAAGAUGUUCCCCUCCUCUCACCCUAUGCGCUCCAACUCUUCUGCAACUCUGAAGUAAAUAAGCAGUUAAGAAGAUGGAUGGAUAGAUGUAUGGAUGGCUGGAUGGAUACAGGGAUGUAUGGAUUUUCUAAAUGGGAUGAGAGAGAACAGGCGCUGAAAGCAAAGGAGAUAAGGACUGUGACAGACAGAUGACACACCAAAAUAGCUAAUGCAGAGAUGAAGAAGAGAGUAUCAGACAGAAGGAUAAGACACGGUGUUUACACGGUUUGUCACAGCUCAGAUUUGUCACAGUGUAAAAGGAAUCCUUGUAACACAGUAAAGGGAGAAGCCAUGUGACGAGAGAUGGGCAGUUUUAAAAUUAAAGCAUUUCCAACAUCAUCACGGCUCUUACUUCAAUGGUUCUAGUCAUGCUGCAGGAUAUUAAAAUAUUAG